rnacentral:lncRNA from 1 species
UUAGGGGCUUGGAGGUGCUAGCCUGCAAGUAACUUCGAUGGCUAAUCUCUUCUUUUUUUGUCAAGUACUUUGGACACUCCAAUAGAUGAAGAGAUCUAGAGGAGAAAGAGAAGAGGAGGAGAAGAGCUCUAGAAAAAUAAAAGCCAGUAAGGAAAUUGAUGCUUGACACCAAGAAGAGGGCCACCCUUUUUAUAGGCAAGGAAUUAGGGUUUUCAUCCAAGGG